UCCUACGGGAGGCAGCAGUAGGGAAUAUUGCUCAAUGGGGGAAACCCUGAAGCAGCAACGCCGCGUGGAGGAUGAAGGGUUUCGGAUUGUAAACUCCUUUUGUUAGAGAAGAUGAUGACGGUAUCUAUCGAAUAAGCACCGGCUAACUCCGUGCCAGCAGCCGCGGUAAUACGUAGGGUGCAAGCGUUACUCGGAAUCACUGGGCGUAAAGAGCGCGUAGGCGGGAUAGCAAGUCAGGUGUGAAAUCCUGUGGCUUAACCAUAGAACUGCACUGGAAACUGU
rnacentral:rRNA from 1 species